UACAGAGGGGGCAAGCGUUGUUCGGAAUUACUGGGCGUAAAGGGCUCGUAGGUGGCCAACUAAGUCAGACGUGAAAUCCCUCGGCUUAACCGGGGAACUGCGUCUGAUACUGGUUGGCUUGAGUUUGGGAGAGGGAUGCGGAAUUCCAGGUGUAGCGGUGAAAUGCGUAGAUAUCUGGAGGAACACCGGUGGCGAAGGCGGCAUCCUGGACCAACACUGACGCUGAGGAGCGAAAGCCAGGGGAGCAAACGGG
rnacentral:rRNA from 1 species